ensembl:lncRNA
CCAGAGGUAAACUAUAAACUCCAGUGGUAAACUAUAAACUCCACUGGUAAACUAUAAACUCCACUGGUAAACUAUAAACUCCAGAGGUAAACUAUAAACUCCAGUGGUAAACUAUAAACUCCAGAGGUAAACUAUAAACUCCACUGGUAAACUAUAAACUCCAGAGGUAAACUAUAAACUCCACUGGUAAACUAUAAACUCCAGAGGUAAACUAUAAACUCCACUGGUAAACUAUAAACUCCAGAGGUAAACUAUAAACUCCACUGGUAAACUAUAAACUCCACCGGUAAACUAUAAACUCCAGAGGUAAACUAUAAACUCCACUGGUAAACUAUAAACUCCACCGGUAAACU